GAUGAACGCUGGCGGCGUGCCUAAUACAUGCAAGUCGAGCGAACAGACGAGGAGCUUGCUCCUCUGACGUUAGCGGCGGACGGGUGAGUAACACGUGGAUAACCUACCUAUAAGACUGGGAUAACUUCGGGAAACCGGAGCUAAUACCGGAUAAUAUAUUGAACCGCAUGGUUCAAUAGUGAAAGACGGUUUUGCUGUUACUUAUAGAUGGAUCCGCGCCGCUUUAGCUAGUUGGUAAGGUAACGGCUUACCAAGGCAACGAUGCGUAGCCGACCUGAGGGGGUGAUCGGCCACACUGGAGCUGAGACACGGUCCAGACGCCUACGGGAGGCAGCAGUAGGGAAUCGUACGCAAUGGGCGAAAGCCUGACGGAGCAACGCCGCGUGAGUGAUGAAGGUCUUCGGAUCGUAAAACUCUGUUAUUAGGGAAGAACAAAUGUGUAAGUAAAUAUGCACGUCUUGACGGUACCUAAUAAGAAAGCCACGGCUAACUACGUG
rnacentral:rRNA from 1 species